UUAGCCAGUAGUGGUCUGCAAUGUGGUGGGUCUGUUUUAUAACUUCUGUUAGUUGGGUCUCUCGGCACCUUCACAGCUUCACCUCUCAUAUUUGUUGGAAACCGCAAAAGAAGAAGCUUAAACACAAUUUCUCAAUCAACCAUCUCUUUCAACAAUUCGUAUACGGCAGUUCUCAUCUCUCUCUCUUGUUUUUUUUUUUCUCUUUGGAACAUUUGGGAUCUCAUCUUUUACUUCAAUCUAGGGUUUCAUAAUUUAUUCUCCUCUAAUAAUCUUUUCAAUCUCGAACUUUUUAUUUCCCAAAAUUUUCUUCUUCAUCUCUAUCACCAGCUCUAUUGUUCCCGAAAUUAGACUCACGGUUAAUUAAGAACCUGAAAAGGAUCUUUGUGAUGGCAUCGGUACAAGUAAUUGCUUCAGGAAUUGGCACUAGAAGCUUAUUGCCUUCAUUUGAUGGACUUAGUGGAUCCAGUGAGAUUGACAGGUUCCAGGACUUAAGGAACGAACUAAAGGUUCGCCGCUAUCAGCAACGGAGGCACAUUGAUACAAGCGGGGUCUUUAGACCCAACUUGUUUUUAAGUUUUAGUGUUAAUAUAUCCAUUUUGGGGGGAAGUUAGGUAGUCAGGGAUUAAAAAUAUUGCUUCUGUCGAUUUUGACCCCAGGAGUAACAGAAUUUCCCUCCGUCACUGCAGCCGUGAUGGAAUAUGGAAGGUUUGACUUAUCAAAAUUAAAAUUAGAAUUCUCACAAACAAAAAUAACAAACCAUUUGUUAUGUUAAAAGUCUGUAGUUUACUGCAUAAUAUCUCGGUGUGUUUGUGUAUUAAGGAUUCGGUUUACUCAGACGUAGACACUGAUUUUGUUGUGUUCCUUAUGUAUUGCUUUUAACAAAGAAAAUGUGGUAAUACAUGACCCAAAAGUGUUCUCUUCUUGCAUAUGAGUUGAAACAGAACUUCUUUAUGCGUUUGCAGAUGCGUACAGGAUAAACAGUUGAUGAAUGUGCAAUUUGUUGGUGUAUCUAGUUAUCUCUUUCCUUUUUAUUGAUCGUUGUCUUUUUGCAUGAAGCUAAUGGCAAAUUGGUUAAAUUCAUCUCGGUUUUCAUAUGACUGAUGUUCUAUGAAAUAAAUAGUCUACUGUUGAAUUAUAUAGUGGUAUUAGAGAGCUUAUUGGAGAAUUCCAGUAAUGGAUCAAAUAUCACUGAUGUUAACUUCCAUUGAUGUAAAUAUUUUGUGUGAUCAGAUUCAAAUUGUGGCGUGAAGAAUCCAUAAAGUUUGGAAAUAUUGGACUUUGGGAUAGUGUUAAGCAAUUCUAUGGAGACCUCCACUAACCAGGUGUAUGCAGAUUCGCCUACUACUGUGUUGGUCUUCUUGGAUUGGUUGUUGAGAGCAUAGAUUGACGUCCUUCAAUUGAAGGGUAAAUUUUUUAUCUUGGAUUUACUGUUGACAGAGCAUCAAAGCUAAAAGGUCGGCAUAUGAACAACUAGUUUAUUAUGCUCAGGUACUGUGUGUGUCUUAUUUAUGCAUAGAUUGAUGUCCAUUAAUUCUUAUUUAUUUUUUGGUUAUUUUUUGAAGUGGUAACUGACGCUGCUUCCAUCAUGUCAUAAGUGAAGAUGUACUAUUUCUCUCCGGUAUUAUGUUUGCAUAGUUUGAGUAGAAUACGGUCAUAAUGAGUAUUUACUAUUUAGAUGUUAUA